UGAGCUACAGCUCACUUCAUGGGAUGCAAUGUGGACACUGCUGCCUCCUGGGGCUGCCCUGAAAGACACUUUGAAUUGACAGAUCACAACAACUCUGUGACUUUUAGGAUUGAGAUUGCAGCUCAUUAGUGUGUAUGUGUUUGCUGGCUUUAACCUGCAAAUAACUCUCUUAUUUCUCUCUCCUAGUUAAUAAAGCUUUAGAUAGUUUAUUA